rnacentral:rRNA from 1 species
AGCGAACGCUGUCGGCAGGCCUAACACAUGCAAGUCGAACGGAUCCUUCGGGAUUAGUGGCGGACGGGUGAGUAACACGUGGGAACGUGCCCUUUGGUUCGGAACAACUCAGGGAAACUUGAGCUAAUACCGGAUGUGCCCUUCGGGGGAAAGAUUUAUCGCCAUUGGAGCGGCCCGCGUCUGAUUAGCUAGUUGGUGAGGUAACGGCCCACCAAGGCGACGAUCAGUAGCUGGUCUGAGAGGAUGAUCAGCCACACUGGGACUGAGACACGGCCCAGACUCCUACGGGAGGCAGCAGUGGGGAAUCUUGCGCAAUGGGCGAAAGCCUGACGCAGCCAUGCCGCGUGAACGAUGAAGGUCUUAGGAUUGUAAAAUUCUUUCAGCGGGGACGAUAAUGACGGUACCCGCAGAAGAAGCUCCGGCUAACUUCGUG